AGAAAAUAAGUCAAUUUCGCCUGGCAAUAGGUCUUCCUAAUAUCCCUUAAAAAAUUGUUAAAUAUGUAUGUUUACCUUUGAAACCCUCUUCCAGGAAAAAUUUUGAUACGUACUUCUAGACCAAAGUAUUCAACAGAAUGUUUUCAUCAUAUCAAAGACAAGAAUGUAUCAAUCACGUGUAUCAUUUUUUUCCUUUUAUACCCGC
rnacentral:lncRNA from 1 species